rnacentral:rRNA from 1 species
ACACGACUCUCGGCAACGGAUAUCUUGGCUCUCGCAUCGAUGAAGAACGUAGCAAACUGCGAUACUUGGUGUGAAUUGCAGAAUCCCGUGAACCAUCGAGUCUUUGAACGCAAGUUGCGCCCGAAGCCAUUAGGCCGAGGGCACGUCUGCCUGGGCGUCACGC